rnacentral:rRNA from 1 species
GAUGAACGCUGGCGGCGUGCCUAAUACAUGCAAGUCGAGCGAACAGACGAGGAGCUUGCUCCUCUGACGUUAGCGGCGGACGGGUGAGUAACACGUGGAUAACCUACCUAUAAGACUGGGAUAACUUCGGGAAACCGGAGCUAAUACCGGAUAAUAUAUUGAACCGCAUGGUUCAAUAGUGAAAGACGGUUUUGCUGUCACUUAUAGAUGGAUCCGCGCCGCAUUAGAUAGUUGGUAAGGUAACGGCUUACCAAGGCAACGAUGCGUAGCCGACCUGAGAGGGUGAUAGGCCACACUGGAACUGAGACACGGUCCAGACUCCUAAGGGAGGGAGCAGUAGGGAAUCGUCCGCAAUGGGCGAAAGCCUGACGGAGCAACGCCGCGUGAGUGAUGAAGGUCUUCGGAUCGGAAAACUCUGUUAUUAGGGAAGAACAAAUGUGUAAGUAACUAUGCACGUCUUGACGGUACCUAAUCAGAAAGCCACGGCUAACUACGUG